UGGCUUUCACUAAUCCAAAAUAAGGGGAAAGAUCAAGGGCAUUCAAUACUUGCAUUUGUAUUGAUACGGAAUAUUUUGUCGUUUAUGAUAUUUUUCCUAUAUAGCGCUGCCAUUAAUUUCUCUUAUAAUAUUAUAAUUCCUAUAAGAAAAAUUUUUUUAUUUGUAAUUAAAAGUUCUUAUAUAUAUAUGAGUCAUUUGUAACAUAAAAAAUAUAGUACAAAAUAAAGUAAAUAUUUUACCUAAAUUUCUACAUGGUAUCAAAGCAACAAAAGGGUAUUUUAAGACUUUUUCAAUUUUAGAGUUUCUUUCAAACUCUAAAAUAUUUUCACCAUUUAACCAAAUGGAGUCCUAGCACCACCAGCAGCCUGCUGCCCUAUUCCAGUGAUCAUCUCCACCCUACCCAAUCCCUCUGCUAAGGUCGUACCCAUCCGUUCACGCUGCUUCCUUGCGCACGGCCUUUGGAUCCCACUGCUCCCUUCUCUGGUUCACGCAACCUGAUCCAACAUGCUGGUUCACGCUGCGCACGGUGUCUUAUUCCGUAGCACACACUUGGCGUCUCUGGUUUGCGCUGCUCCUCUGCGUACGGCAUCCGGCUCCCUCGCACGCAGCACCGAGUCCCUUCACGGACGCACGACCUGACCCUUCUGUUUGCGCCUUGUGCCGCUUCUUCACGCAUCACAGAUUCGGUCUUGCUAGACCCAUCUGCUCUGAUUCGUGCAGGGUCACUCGCGUAAGGUUCCUGCCUUACAGAUUUGUUUUCACGCGGCCGCGCUCUUUUUUUGCAGCUUUUCAAAUCGGAUUCCUACUGUUGUUUGUGCAGAGCUGCACGCCCUUCCUCCUCCUCUGGUUCUUGCAAUCUGCUCUCUCUGGUUGCGCAUCCUCCCAGCAAAUCGUGACCAGACUCGGUUCUAUUUUUUGUUCUCAGAUCCGGCCUUGGCUCUUGUUUCCGGAUUAAAAAUAUUGGUUGUUCCAAAGUUCAGGUAAUCCUUUAUCCACUAUUAGUACUUCAAAAAAUGGUAAAUUCAGGUAUUGCUCCUCUUCUUACUAUUUUCAAUUUUCAUGCUUAGAUUAUAAACUCUGAAACUAACUGACAUAUGAUAAACUAUUUUAAAAACUUCCUAACUUUAUUUUCAUGUAUUCAACAUGAGAAUAUACGUGUCGCAGAUAGAUCAUACACUCCUAUAUCUAGAACAAACUCCAUUAAUGUGCCUAAUUUUCUAACAAUCUCUUAUCUGUUAGUGUCCUUACUAGAGAUUUUAACUGUAAAAUUAAAUUUUUUCCUAACCAUUGUAUUCUUUAAGAUCUUCAAACAGAAAAAACGAUUGACAUUAAUAAACUGCAGGAUGAUUUAUGUCUUGAAUAUAAGUUGAAGCGUGAUUAGUAAUCAAGUUGCCUUCAGAAAUAGUGAUGUCAAUAGUAAAAUCUUAAAAUUGCAUAGACGGUUGGGACGUUCUUCUUUUUUUAUUCUAGAAAAAUUAUAUCCCACAUUAUUUAAAAAUUUUUUUAUAGAUUUCUUAUUUUGUGAUGCAUGUGAGCUACCUAAAUAUAAAUGGAGUUGAUAUAAUGUGAAUAACCAUAGAAAUCUUACUCUUUUUGUGACAAUUCACUCUGAUAUUUGCGGACCCAUUCAAAAUACAUCCUUAUUUGCUUGUAGAUGGUUUGUUACUUUCAUUGACUGAUAUACUAGAUUAACAUUGAUUUAUCUGUUGAAAGCCAAAAGUGAUGUGUUCUCAUACUUUCGAUCAUUUCACAAAAUGAUAUGUAUACAGUUUGAUACUCAAGUUAAGAUUUUAUAAACAGAAACCUGUACAGAAUAUAUGGAUGGUGAAUUCCGUGCCUAUUUGGAGUCUCAUGAGAUAAUUUACAAGACAAGUUGUGCCUACACUAGUGAACAAAAUGGAAUUACUGAAAGAACAAAUAGACACGUAUUGGAGG
rnacentral:lncRNA from 1 species